rnacentral:rRNA from 1 species
CAGCAACCGCGGUAAUACGAAGGGGGCUAGCGUUGUUCGGAUUUACUGGGCGUAAAGGGCGCGUAGGCGGUUUGACAAGUUUGGUGUGAAAUCUAUGGGCUCAACCCAUAGCCUGCAUCGAAAACUGUCGGGCUUGAGUAUGGGAGAGGUGAGUGGAAUUUCCGGUGUAGCGGUGAAAUGCGUAGAUAUCGGAAGGAACACCUGUGGCGAAAGCGGCUCACUGGACCAUUACUGACGCUGAGGCGCGAAAGCUAGGGGAGCAAACAGGAUUAGAUACCCCCGUAGUCCCUGUCUCUUAUAC